rnacentral:rRNA from 1 species
CGGGUGAGUAACGCGUAUGCGACCUGCCCGUUGCAGGGGGAUAAUCGGGAGAAAUCCCGUCUAAUACCGCGUAAUGCCGCGGGGCUGCAUGGCCCUGCGGCCAAAGGGAGCGAUUCCGGCAACGGAUGGGCAUGCGUGACAUUAGCUAGUUGGCGGGGCAACGGCCCACCAAGGCGACGAUCAGUAGCCGACCUGAGAGGGUGGCCGGCCACAUUGGGACUGAGACACGGCCCAAACUCCUACGGGAGGCAGCAG